GAGCAAAGCUUGGCCAUCCCUUUCCUCCCCGGAAACCUCAAAUACAGUUUGGUAUUCAUCAUUAGAAUCCCCUUUCUCCAUAUUUACAUACCUAACUACAAUUUAUGCUUUAUUUUUUCCUUUUCAUUAUAAAGUAAAACAUUAAAAACCAUGUCAAACACAGUGGAUUAUAAGGCAGACACCCUUGUCACUCCCACUCAGGUCAAGAAAUAGAACUUUACCAGCUGUAUUGGUCAAGAGUCUCCAGAGAAACAGAACCAACAGGACGUGUGUGCAUAUACAGAGAUUUACCUUAAGGAAUUGGCUCCCACGAUGGUGGAGACUUGAUUUUAUUGUGGUUUCACACAUGGUGUCGGAUGCUGUGGUGUUGAGCCAUGGUUGCUCACCAGGAAACCAGGGGGCAUGUACAGAAAACCAGCACGCCCGCUGCAACCCUAGAGUUCUGAUCGCGGCUGUCUAGGCGAGGCCCUGGGACCAGGGCUCCUAGGAAAGCCAGUUGGUUCCACUGCCUUGUGACAAAUUACUAAAAAAACAGCGACCCCUGCUGGAAUUUGCAUCUGAGUCCCAGAAGGCAUAGAAGUCCACCAAUGCCAGUGCCAAGAAACAGCUAGAUGUAGAAAUAACCAGCACCUGCGAGGCCUUCUGAUGUGCAUUCCUGACAAAUUCCCAAGAAGACGUUUCUGACGAUUACAAAAGCCUUUGGUUGGUACCACAUCUUCCAAAGCAGGUGCUUCCUGCUGCCCCGUGGCCACGACGGGGAACUCCCAGACCUUCUUUAGUCAGAAGGAAAGUGCGGGCAGCUGGGCUUUCCUGGAGCCCUUUGACAGAACACCUGUGGUCAUUGGACCAGGCCCCGGCACCGCCAGCGUCUCGGGCUUCCAUUUCUUAGAAACAAGAAACAACUGGGGUGACUGCCUCGUUUGGUGGCUUCUGCGGGGGGACAGCUGAGAGAAGUGCCUACAGGCCACCUCUCCAGAGCCCAACCCUGUCUGACCUUGGUCCUGCCACCUGACAUAGCCCCUGCUCUUAACCGGUCACAGCUAGACCCCAUGAUUUGGUCUGAGCACUCACUAAAUGUCUGUAAACUCCACGAGGGCCGGCUUUAUCCAUUAUGUACGCCCCCCCCCCAAUACAUUAAUCCCCAUUUAACCCAAAGCAGAUUACCAAAUAGUUGGUGAAGGAAGAUAACAAUCGCUAGCAUUUACAGAGCACUCACUGUAUGCCGUGCACUGUAGGAAGCCCACACACUUCCCAUACAUCAGUUCAUAGAUUAGGGUGACCCACUCGUCCUGGGGUGCUCAGGACGGUCCCUGGAACUCCCCCAGCCCCUGAAAGAUGGGAACAGUUGGUCCCUGUAUUCAUCAGCUCAGGCUGCCAUAACACUAGACCACAGACUGGGGGGCUUAAGUAACACAACAGAAAUGAAUUUUCUCACAGUUCGGGGGCCUGGAAGUCCAAGGUCAAGACGCCAUCAGGGUUGGUUUCUGGGGAGACCUCGUCCUGGCCUAUCUGCUGCUCUCGCUGUGCAGAGGGUUGGUCUCCUCCCUUCUUAGAAGGCCUAGUCCCCUCCCAAGGCCCCUCGCCCCUGGGAUGCCGGCUGUAGGUCCUCAAUACUUACUGGUCACACGUGGGUUGUUACUUUUAGUAGCUGAGUGGGCACACAGGCCUACCUCGUUUUAUUGCACUUCACAGGUGUUACAGGUUUGAAGGCAAGAGCCUUCACCAGCAAUAAGAUUACAAGCCGCUUUAUUGCAAUACUCGCUUUGUUGUGAUGGAACUAAACCCGCAAUUCUGAGGUGUACCCGUACUAAGAAUUCUUUCCAGGUUUGUAAACCAAACCAGGACCCAACUACGGCUCGUGACUUCAUUGCAGUUGAGUCUCACUGAAGGUGGGUCUUACCAAAGAUUAAAAUCCGGGUGAACGGCAGGGGGCAGCAGAGAAUGUCGAUUCUGCCAGAAGGUACCCUGUAGGCGAGGGCUCUUGGCACCUUUUGCUGGAAACUCAAACUGAGCUCUCUGACACAUGGUCGGUGCCGCCCUCCUCUCUCCUUCCUGUGGUGACGGGGGACAGAGGAUGUUGAGGGGAGCCCCCUAUGAAAGGGAAACUUCAGGGAAACAUUUUCUUGACUCAGCACUUAGGACAGGACAGUCCCCAAGCACAGAGGCCGCCACAGGGACAAACCCUCCGACUCCCACACUCAAGGGGCCAAAAAGCUGCAUGUGGCUCGCGAGCUGCAGUUUGCCGACCACUGUGUUAGACCAUUUUUCAGUUUCAAUGUGUUAAAUUAUUAAAUAUGAUGUUUGUUAAUUUAGGACCUGCCUUUUC